GGGUGUGGCGGAAUGGUAGACGCAACGGACUUAAAAUGAAAAUCCGUUGAUGCAAAUCGUGAGGGUUCAAGUCCCUCCACCCCCAAAU
rnacentral:tRNA from 2 species